GCUUGAAGCUAACGGCUAGAAAAUUUAAAAUUUAACUACAGAGAACGGAGGUUGGAUUUCUCAUUUCAUUUCAUGUCUAUUCAGCCGUUGUAUACUCUUAUAAAAUAUAUACUCCAAAAUUGAAAAGUCCAUGUAUGUAGAGAGAAAUACAGUGACUCGAGAGAAGAAUCAAUAGAAUCAGAUAGAGAGAUAGAGAGAGAGUGCUAUGAAAAUGUCAGAGCAUACGAUAUUAUAGGCACUGAGAGAUGAGCGGAGAGACGGAAAGAAUUGAGAUGAUGAUGCACAGCGGGAACAACGGUUAUGGAAACGGGGUGAUGACGUCGGCAUCGGCAGCGACGACGCCCGUGGCCAUGACGUUGUCUUCAUCCUCGACAAAUGCGCAAUCUCGGGGGCAUAAGACGUACUUAAAGAACCCCGAGGGACGGCACAAGCUCUAUUUGUUUUUAUUUUUCUUUUUGAUGUUUCUGUUUUGGGAUUUCUUGUUCCUCUGCAGCAGUCCAGAGGUGUUUUUGUCUCCCUUGCAAGGUUCACGCAAAUUCUCUCUCUCUCUCUCUCUCUCUCUCAAAGUCACCUACUCGUCUAACAAUUUUGCCUUGCAAGAAACCGGCUCAUGCACAAGCAGAAGGAUAAAAGAAGGGAAAAAACAAAAGAGUAGACACCGUAGCUGUUAAUGGGCAGUGAUAAGAAAAAGCCUUGCUGCAACGAUAUUGGAGGUACCUCCAAAGAGUGUACUGGAGAGACCCAAUCCCAAGGAGGUAAGGUGAUUCAUUGUUCAUUCCUGUUCAUCAGAGUUAUUCUGUGAUUGGUUAGGGUUUGGUGAAAUACAGUUCUGGGAAAGAGAUUGAAAAAUAUGGGUUCAUUUAUUUUUAUUCUUUGCGACUUUUGUUACGUUCUGUUUGAUUGGUGAGAAGUGUCGGAAAGUUUAUGGAAUGCAAAUUUUGCCACUUUUGGUGUCAAAGAAAACAGAAUGCUGGCAUGACAAUGCCUAAUGACUGGGAGCUAUAAUUAUAUGAUAGUAGAUUGUAGUACUACACGUCUAAUGGUCAAUGUUUCAAAGAAAGAGCACGCUUGGAAAGUAUGACAUGUAGGAGCUCAUAGGAACAUUUUAUAUGUGGCUUUUAAUUUAUAUAUAAAAAGUGGCUUCAUACAUAUUGAUCACUGUCAAUGAGAAUGGUAAUUUAUGAGCUUGUGUUUUUUAUGUAACUAACUAAUGAUUGUGAAUUAUUGAUCCUCGGUUCAUGCAAGUAUCUGAACCCAUAGAUUGGGAGUACUAUAGAAAAGAAAUUGGGUCUCGCUUGGUGGAUAUGUACAAAGAGGCUUAUGACAGUUUGUUUUCUAACUCACUGGUGAAUGCACCCACCAUGUAUCUCAGUUUUAUGGGGCUACUUUCUGUUAUUAGAGUUGCAUAAUCCUUAAGAGUUCCUGUACAAUGAAGGUGUACCACAUAUUGAUUUCUGCUUGUAGUAUAACUAUUUGCAUGUCUCUGCAAAAAAAGGAAAAAAGGAAAGUGAAUCAAAAUCCUUGUAAUUGGAGCUCAAAUUGGCUGUAAAACAGCUUAUGCAUGUAAAUAGAUAGGAUAUGUUAGGGAAUAUGUACGAGGCCCCUUUUUUUAUCGUUCACAAAGCAAGUUCAUUAUUAUGCUGAUUAUUGCUGCCAGAUUAGCAGAGAAACCUUCUUGAACUCAAUUAAAAUUUAGAUUAGUAGUGUUGAUUCCGCACUUAUUGUGAUAAGUAAACGGCUACAUCAAACUCCGAGGGACAUAUAGGUUUACCAUGAGGCAAGUUCUUGAGAGAUUUUCUUUUUGAUCGAUAGAUAAGAAUAUUAUUGAUGAGAGAUAUAGGCAUAGCCUAAAUACACAGGACUUUCUUGAGAGAUUUUCUGAAGCUGGAGUAUGUUUAGUUGUGAACAUAUACGCAGCUGGAAUUGAUUUGUAAGUGAAUCUAUUGGUCUCAAAUACCAGAUACCAAAUGAUUUGUCCCGCUAGGUACUGUCUUGCUUCAUGUCUAUUUGAAAUUGCCUUUUAAUGAAAAUGGUUCACUUUUCUUGAGUUUUUAUUAAUCCAUAUUCCAAUCUCCAAUUGUUUCAAAUUUACUCAAGAAGAAUAGUGUUCCAAGUUUGUAGACAUAGAGUUCCCCAGGUAUGCAGUCACAGUAACUCCUCAAAACGAGCCUAAAUUUGAUGCACUCGUGAGAACUUACUCAAGAUCAAAUUGCUUGACACCCUCUCCCUCUCUCUAAAAAUAUUGACAUCUGAUACAGUUGGUGGAAUUGUAAGAAGCAGAAGAGAAAUCCUUGAAGGAGUCUGAGCAUCUGGAAAACGAAAUUGUUGGAGUACAAGAGAUGAAAUCUGGUAUCACUUAUUGUGGAUUUUGGGAUUAUAAAAAUGUAUUUAUACAUUUUUUUUUUGGGGGGGGGGGUCAGU